CCAGACUCCUACGGGAGGCAGCAGUGGGGAAUAUUGCGCAAUGGGCGAAAGCCUGACGCAGCGACGCCGCGUGAGGGAUGAAGGUCUUCGGAUCGUAAACCUCUGUCAGCAGGGAAGAACGGUCACUGUGCUAAUCAGCAGUGAAUUGACGGUACCUGCAAAGGAAGCCCCGGCUAACUUCGUGCCAGCAGCCGCGGUAAUACGAAGGGGGCAAGCGUUGUUCGGAAUUACUGGGCGUAAAGGGAGUGUAGGCGGUUUAGUAAGAUAGUGGUGAAAUCCCAGAGCUUAACUUUGGAAUUGCCAUUAUAACUAUUAGACUAGAAUUACAGAGAGGAUAGUGGAAUACCCAGUGUAGAGGUGAAAUUCGUAGAUAUUGGGUAGAACACCAGUGGCGAAGGCGACUAUCUGGCUGUACAUUGACGCUGAGGCUCGAAAGCAUGGGGAUCAAACAGGAUUAGAUACCCUGGUAGU
rnacentral:rRNA from 1 species